AACGAACGCUGGCGGCAUGCCUAACACAUGCAAGUCGAACGAGACCUUCGGGUCUAGUGGCGCACGGGUGCGUAACGCGUGGGAACCUGCCUUUAGGUUCGGAAUAACUCAGAGAAAUUUGAGCUAAUACCGGAUGAUGUCUUCGGACCAAAGAUUUAUCGCCUUUAGAUGGGCCCGCGUUGGAUUAGCUAGUUGGUGGGGUAAAGGCCUACCAAGGCGACGAUCCAUAGCUGGUCUGAGAGGAUGAUCAGCCACACUGGGACUGAGACACGGCCCAGACUCCUACGGGAGGCGGCAGUGGGGAAUAUUGGACAAUGGGCGAAAGCCUGAUCCAGCAAUGCCGCGCGAGUGAUGAAGGCCUUAGGGUUGUAAAGCUCUUUUACCCGAGAUGAUAAUGACAGUAGCGGGAGAAUAAGCUCCGGCUAACUCCGUG
rnacentral:rRNA from 1 species